GCCAGGCAUGGUGGUACACACCUGUAGUCCCAGCUACUUGGGAGGCUGAGGUGGGAGUAACUUUUGAACUCAGGAGUUCUGGGCAGUUGUCCACUAUGUUGAUGGAGUGUCCACACUGAAUUCAGCAUCAUUAUGGUGACCUGGGAGUGUGGGACCUCCAGGUUGCCUAAGGAAGGGUGAAAUGGCCAAAGUCAAAAACAGAGCAGGUCAAAACUCCCAUGCUGAUCAGCAGUGGGGUAGCACCUGUGAAUAGCCACUGCAUUCCAGCUUGGGCAACUCUAAAAAAA
rnacentral:SRP_RNA from 1 species